UACGUAGGGGGCGAGCGUUAUCCGGAUUUACUGGGCGUAAAGAGCAUUAAGGCGGUCGGCAAAGUUGGUGGUGAAAUCUCGGAGCUCAACUCCGGAACUGCCUCCAAUACUGGUCGGCUAGAGUGCAGGAGAGGAAGGUGGAAUUCCCGGUGUAGUAGUGAAAUGCGUAGAUAUCGGGAGGAACACCAGUGGCGAAGGCGGCCUUCUGGCCUGCAACUGACGCUGUAGUGCGAAAGCGUGGGGAUCAAACAGG
rnacentral:rRNA from 1 species